rnacentral:rRNA from 1 species
UGGGGGCAGCUAUACAUGCAGUCGAGCGGACAGAUGGGAGCUUGCUCCCUGAUGUUAGCGGCGGACGGGUGAGUAACACGUGGGUAACCUGCCUGUAAGACUGGGAUAACUCCGGGAAACCGGGGCUAAUACCGGAUGGUUGUUUGAACCGCAUGGUUCAAACAUAAAAGGUGGCUUCGGCUACCACUUACAGAUGGACCCGCGGCGCAUUAGCUAGUUGGUGAGGUAACGGCUCACCAAGGCAACGAUGCGUAGCCGACCUGAGAGGGUGAUCGGCCACACUGGGACUGAGACACGGCCCAGACUCCUACGGGAGGCAGCAGUAGGGAAUCUUCCGCAAUGGACGAAAGUCUGACGGAGCAACGCCGCGUGAGUGAUGAAGGUUUUCGGAUCGUAAAGCUCUGUUGUUAGGGAAGAACAAGUACCGUUCGAAUAGGGCGGUACCUUGACGGUACCUAACCAGAAAGCCACGGCUAACUACGUGCCAGCAGCCGCGGUAAUACGUAGGUGGCAAGCGUUGUCCGGAAUUAUUGGGCGUAAAGGGCUCGCAGGCGGUUUCUUAAGUCUGAUGUGAAAGCCCCCGGCUCAACCGGGGAGGGUCAUUGGAAACUGGGGAACUUGAGUGCAGAAGAGGAGAGUGGAAUUCCACGUGUAGCGGUGAAAUGCGUAGAGAUGUGGAGGAACACCAGUGGCGAAGGCGACUCUCUGGUCUGUAACUGACGCUGAGGAGCGAAAGCGUGGGGAGCGAACAGGAUUAGAUACCCUGGUAGUCCACGCCGUAAACGAUGAGUGCUAAGUGUUAGGGGGUUUCCGCCCCUUAGUGCUGCAGCUAACGCAUUAAGCACUCCGCCUGGGGAGUACGGUCGCAAGACUGAAACUCAAAGGAAUUGACGGGGGCCCGCACAAGCGGUGGAGCAUGUGGUUUAAUUCGAAGCAACGCGAAGAACCUUACCAGGUCUUGACAUCCUCUGACAAUCCUAGAGAUAGGACGUCCCCUUCGGGGGCAGAGUGACAGGUGGUGCAUGGUUGUCGUCAGCUCGUGUCGUGAGAUGUUGGGUUAAGUCCCGCAACGAGCGCAACCCUUGAUCUUAGUUGCCAGCAUUCAGUUGGGCACUCUAAGGUGACUGCCGGUGACAAACCGGAGGAAGGUGGGGAUGACGUCAAAUCAUCAUGCCCCUUAUGACCUGGGCUACACACGUGCUACAAUGGACACAACAAAGGGCAGCGAAACCGCGAGGUUAAGCC